CCGUGCUAGGCGGGGAACUAGCGGUGCCCUGUACCUGCAAUCCGCUCCAGCAGGGCUGAAUUCCUCCCCGAGGUCCCCGCGCUCGGAGGCCGCUGCCCCAGGCGACGUUGAGGAUCGGGUCCCGCGCAGCGGCGAAUCGCGAACCGUGUCAGGUCCGGAAGGAAGCAGCACUCAGCGAAGCUCGUCGGGUGCCGCGGAACGGCCUG
rnacentral:SRP_RNA from 1 species